rnacentral:piRNA from 1 species
UGGUAUCUGCCUGGGGGUGUCUCACAG